rnacentral:tRNA from 1 species
CUAUUGUGCUCCUAGGCUGCAAACCUGUACAGCUACAGCAUGGUACUGUACUGAAUGCUGGAGGCAAUUGUACACAAUUGUAAGCAUUUGUGUACCUAAAAGAGACCGAGAUACCUAAAUACCAAAACUAGUGACGCUGUGAGCAGGAUUCGAACCUGCGCGGGGAGACCCCAUUGGAUUUCGAGUCCAACGCCUUAACCACUCGGCCAUCACAGCCGCGUGCGCUGUCGGCCCUGUGCAACUAUAGCUGCCUAUCAACACGCCCGCCUCCAGCCGGCUCCGCCCGGCUCCGCCCGGCUCCACCCGCGCCGCCUAGAGACGUCUGCGCUCGUGCGCCUCUGCUCGGUGGCGCAGACCAUGCCUUCCCUCCAGCAGACGUCAGCAGCCCCAUUGGAGCGGCAGCCUUCCUAUUCUCCCUCUCCUCCCUGAGCAUAGGAUGGAAACAAAACGGGUCCAAAUCCGAGCCCUGUCUUCCAUACUCUUGAGGACAGACCCUGAGAUGCCUACUUCAGGCUACUUCAUGAAACCGAAGUGAGAAUCUGUAGUUUCCAAUACACACUAAAAGUGCAGGGAAACGGAGGUCCAAAGACGGAUUGGCAUGUAAGAAGAAUCUUAGGGAGAGUCUAGAAGAAAUGUUUCUUAGAAAGGCCCUUUGAAAGUGGAGAAGUGUACUUGCAGCAAUAAUAUAUCACUCCCCGCUAACUCAGGCACCGCUGGGAUUCGAACCCAGGAUCUCCUGUUUACUAGACAGGCGCUUUAACCAGCUAAGCCACGGCGCCGGCGUAAAACAGGUGUUCCUCAAGAUAAAUCAACUCUUAGUGGGUGACAGUAAGUGAAAAUCAGCAAAC